rnacentral:misc_RNA from 1 species
UUUUAAAUUAGAUAGGUUAGGGUUUUUUUUUUGUAACAAAACUAUGUCAAUAAACAGUGUAAUUUUUAAAUUAGAUAGGUUAGGUUUUUUUUUUGUAAUGGAAUUAUGCCUAUAAACGGCCCCUUUCUGAAGUCAGAUAGAUUAUGGUAAUUUUUUUUAUUCAUGUCAUGUUUUUCACUUCAUUAUAUAUUUUUUUAUCUAUUUAUUGUCAUAUAAAAUGAACUAAAAUAUUGAAUAUUUUUCGUAUAUAACAGUAAAUAAAUAAAAAUAAAAUAUAUUUAAGUAAAAAACAUAACACAAAACAAGG